rnacentral:rRNA from 1 species
CCAUGGCUGUCCCCACUCUGGAAAGCCCCCAUCCCUCUAAAGAUUAAGAUCUUCAUUUGGCAAUUAUUACGGGACCGCCUCCCCUCGGGGACUGAGGUGCGUAAACGGCACAGACCUGGUGAUGGUCUUUGCCAUCUCUGUGCGGUACCGGAAACCGGGACCCAUAUCCUAUUCUCGUGUACCGCGGCGAGGGUACUUUGGGCGUAUGUCCGCGAAGCGUUGGGGCCUGACUGGGAGGCCCUCAACCUCGCUGAGUUUCUCCAACUUAGAGCUCUUCAGCCGUCACGUCAUCGCCGCCUUUUUUGGCUUAUUUUUGCGGCGAUGACAUGGACUCUUUGGACGACUAGGAAUAAGAUGGUGAUUGAGAAGGUUUUCCCGAGGAAGGCGUCUGACUCCUUCAAAUUCCCUUCUUUCCUGCAGCACUGGCACCCGCUCUCGAGGCAGCGUGAUCGUGACCGGCUUGGAGGGAUGAUGGAUGAACUCCAGGCUUCAGCGCGUCGACUAUCUUCCCUGUAA